AUUCCAUAAGAAAUACAUGGGGAGCUUACGGAACGACAUAAAGAGGUCACUAGCGUCACUAAAGGUGCUCCGACCUUGAAGAACAUAGUUUCUUUUUCAUUUUAAGGUUUUCGGUGAACGUUUUGUCUGGUUUUGUCAACAAGAAAUGUCAUAUUAGCCAAAUACACUGACGUCAUCCGAGGUCAUCAAGAUGGCAGCGUUUGACAAGUAGCCGGUUUUCUCAUAAGAGUCAAUGCUAAUAUUUUCGGAAUUCAUUUAAAUUUGAGAGUGUGUCAACUGUGUUUUUAUAGCUUGGUGAAAAUGCCUAAAUUUUGUGCUGUUGUGGGUUGCGCAAAUCGAAGCACCAGAAAUGCGGAUAAAUUUUAUAUUCCUUUCGCAGCAAUUAGCAACAAUAAUGGUAAAUAUAUACAGGAUGGGGAAAAAGGCGGAAGCUUUGGUUAAAAGCCUUGAAACGAGUGGAUUUAACGAAGCCAAAGUAAAGUAUUCCUAUGUUUGUUCGGAUCAUUUUAUUUUAGGUACAGUACCUACCUAUUAGAUUUACAGUUUCUAACAAAUUACUACAUUAGUGCUCUUUUAGGUAAACCUGCACCUGGACCAUCCUGAUUAUGUUCCAUCACAAAAUUUAGGAUAUCAAAAUAAAUCCACUCAUAAUACUUGUAAUGUUGAAAGACACAGUUGUUUAAAAAAGAGAAAAUUGAAUAAAUGUCUCUAAACUUUUGAA